rnacentral:rRNA from 1 species
GACGGAGGGUGCAAGCGUUGCUCGGAAUCAUUGGGCGUAAAGGGUGCGUAGGCGGCUUUUUAAGUCUGACGUGAAAGCCCAGGGCUUAGCCUUGGAAGUGCGCCAGAAACUGGAAGGCUAGAGUGCCGGAGGGGAGAGUGGAAUUCCUGGUGUAGCGGUGAAAUGCGUAGAUAUCAGGAGGAAUACCGGUGGCGAAAGCGACUCUCUGGACGGUAACUGACGCUGAGGCACGAAAGCGUGGGGAACAAACAGG